GCGAAUGUGGUGAAGUGGUUUAACACAGCGGGUUGUGGUCCCGUCACUCGCGGGUUCGAAUCCCGUCAUUCGCCCCA
rnacentral:tRNA from 1 species